UACUUGUUUAUUUUCUAUUUCCCUCUGUUAGGUAACAGCUCCAUAAGAUCAGAGGAUGCAUCUUCUAUUCACCAAGUGUGUUACAGAAUGUUUGAUGCCUACUGAGCCUUCAGAUAAAUGCUGAAAGACUAAACCUUUCCAAGUCUAACAACCCUUUGUAUCAGGCCUAUCCAGCUUUGGAGGCUGCGUUCUGGAGAUCUUUGAACACAGCUGGACUCUCAGGAUUUUCUGUCAGCAACUUACAGUUCCUCAAUUCGUUCAAGCUUGCAUUCAACAAAUAGUUGAGGACCUAUGGUGAGGCAGUCGCUUGCCUCCUGUGAACAGGUACAUUCGAGGUAAUAAUAAUGAUGAUAUAAUAAUAUAAUAUAAUAAUAUAAUAAUAAUAAUGAUGAUGAACAAGACAAAAAUCCCUGCUUUCCCUACUCUGUGUGUGGUAGGUGUCAGAUGAUG
rnacentral:lncRNA from 1 species